rnacentral:rRNA from 1 species
GACGGAAGGUGCAAGCGUUGCUCGGAAUCACUGGGCGUAAAGGGUGCGUAGGCGGCCGUGCAAGUCUGGCGUGAAAGCCCCGGGCUCAGCCCGGGAAGUGCGCUCGAAACUGCGCGGCUCGAGUGCCGGAGGGGAGAGUGGAAUUCCUGGUGUAGCGGUGAAAUGCGUAGAUAUCAGGAGGAAUACCGGUGGCGAAGGCGGCUUUCUGGACAGUAACCGACGCUGAGGCGCGAAAGCUAGGGGAGCAAACAGG